rnacentral:rRNA from 1 species
AUGGCCAACUAUAGCAACUGCUUCCAUACAUCAAUCAUACUCUCGAUGCUUCUUCUCAUAUGCUUUGCUACCCAUGCACAAUGCGGCAGAAUCCUGGAAGACAUGAAAUCAAUUAGGGUCAAUAUACCAGGUGGUCUGUGCGCCCGUGUUCGGGGCUGCAAAGACGUAUGCAUAUGUUGUUUAGUAAAGGAUUCCUGCUAUGAUUCAUUUGAUGAAUGCCUGGCCGACUGUCCAAAAACUUCUCCGUUAGACCCAGCGGCAGCGAUGAGUCGUUCUCCAUCACCAUCCUAUCUAAUCUAG